rnacentral:rRNA from 1 species
UGGGUUAAUCUCCCAAAAAGAGCAAACCCUUUCAGUUUAUUCCACCACGUUAAGGUGGGCACUCAAAGGAGACUGCCGGUGACAAACCGGAGGAAGGUGGGGAUGACGUCAAGUCAUCAUGCCCCUACGACCAGGGCUACACACGUGCUACAAUGGCCAAUACAAAGGGCAGCGAAACCGCGAGAUCAAGCAAAUCCCAAAAAGUGGGUCGCAGUUCGGAUUGGAGUCUGCAACUCGACUCCAUGAAGUUGGAAUCGCUAGUAAUCGUAGAUCAGCAAUGCUACGGUGAAUACGUUCCCGGGCCUUGUACACACCGCCCGUCACACCCAUGGGAGUUGGUAACACCCGAAG